GAUGAACGCUGGCGGCGUGCUUAAUGCAUGCAAGUCGAACGGACAGGCCCUGCUUUUGUGGGGUGCUCGAGUGGCGAACGGGUGAGUAACACGUGUGUAUACUGCCCUUGUCUUUGGGAUAACUUCAGGAAACUGGGGCUAAUACAGGAUAGGAGCUCUUGCUGCAUGGUGGGGGUUGGUAAGUUUCGGCGGUUGGGGCUGGACUCGAGGCUUAUCCGCUUGUUGGUGGGGUAGUGGAUUACCAAGGCUGUGACGGAUAGCCGGCCUGAGAGGGUGACCGGCCACAUGGGGACUAAGAUACGGCCCAGACUCCUACGGGCGGCAGCAGGGGGGAAUAUUGCACAAUGGGCGGAAGCCUGAUGCAGCAACGCCGCGUGCGGGAUGACGGCCUUCGGGUUGUAAACCGCUGUCGCCUGUGACGAAGCGUGAGUGACGGUAAUGGGUAAAGAAGCACCGGCUAACUACGUG
rnacentral:rRNA from 1 species